CAUGUCUAUAUGGUUGCUAUAUAAAGUCUAGCCUGCCCACUGAUUUAGUUUAAAGGGCCGCGGUAUAUUGACCGUGCGAAGGUAGCAUAAUCAUUAGUCUUUUAAUUGAAGGCUUGUAUGAAUGGUUGGACAAAAAGUAAGCUGUCUCAAUUAUAAUAAUUGAAUUUAACUUUUAAGUGAAAAGGCUUAAAUAAAUUAAGGGGACGAUAAGACCCUAUAAAGCUUGACAAUAAUUUAAUUAUACUAUCAAUUGUUAGUAUAACUUGGUUUUAAUUAAUAUUUGUUGCGUUGGGGCGACGAGAAUAUAAUAGGUAACUGUUCUUAAAUAUUUAAUAACAAAUAUAAUUGGAAAUUAGUAUGAUCCUCUAUUAGCGAUUAAAAGAUUAAGUUACUUUAGGGAUAACAGCGUAAUCUUCUUUGAGAGUCCCUAUCGACAAGAAGGUUUGCGACCUCGAUGUUGAAUUAAGGUAUCCUUAUGAUGCAG
rnacentral:rRNA from 1 species